CCUACGGGUGGCAGCAGUGAGGAAUAUUGGUCAAUGGACGAGAGUCUGAACCAGCCAAGUAGCGUGAAGGAUGACUGCCCUUUGGGUUGUAAACUUCUUUUAUAUGGGAAUAAAAUGUUCCACGUGUGGGAUUUUGUAUGUACCAUAUGAAUAAGGAUCGGCUAACUCCGUGCCAGCAGCCGCGGUAAUACGGAGGAUCCGAGCGUUAUCCGAAUUUAUUGGGUUUAAAGGGAGCGUAGGUGGAUUGUUAAGUCAGUUGUGAAAGUUUGCGGCUCAACCGUAAAAUUGCAGUUGAAAAUGGCAGUCUUGAGUACAGUAGAGGUGGGCGGAAUUCGUGGUGUAGCGGUGAAAUGCUUAGAUAUCACGAAGAACUCCGAUUGCGAAGGCAGUUCACUGGACUGCAACUGACACUGAGGCUCGAAAGUGUGGGUAUCAAACAGGAUUAGAUAUCCCUGUAGUC
rnacentral:rRNA from 1 species